AGAAACCCCCCCAAAACCAAGUCAGCUUCACAAAGGUCUUUCAGCCAGCUUCAAACUUCCAGGGAGAGAGAGUGUGACUUCCAGUCAGAGACCAAGUCCAAAAGCCCAGUUUUCUCCUCUCAGUGUGGCCAGCACAAGCCUCCAACUGCCACUCCUGGGAACAUUCCAUUGGAAUCCUGGUUCUUGCAUCUUGGUCCACAAGUCCUGCAAAACCUCUCUCUCUUCAUAUCUCUAUCACAGGUUAACACACAUUGAAUUUUGAAGUAAGUGAAGAAUUCUAUCUGGCAGAGAUAAAAAGUGAGUGCUUUUCAAGCACCGAGGAAGAGCUUCUUCAAAGCAAGAAGGUGGGAUGUGGGAUGUCCUGUACAGAGGACAGUGAUUAGAUUGUUUUGGUGGGAAUGUGAAAUUCCUGAAGGAGAGUAAGAAACUUGGAAAGCCACACUGUGAAGGACUUUAACAAGCUUGAACCAACAGAAUUCUGACGUGUAUUUUUAAAAUAUCAGGAAACAGCAGAAUAAUUGUAAUGCCAGUACCAAGACAACCAUUUGCCCAGAUAGCAGCAACUACUGCUAUACAAAUUUGUUCCCACGGGCUUUCUUAAAGGCAAUACAAAAGAAAACCUUGUUUUUAGUAUAAGAUGUUACAAAUAACGAGAGCUGACAUUUAUAUACAGCUCUGAGGCUUACAUUUUUGAUACAAACAUCAUCUCAUUUAAUCCUUUAACAUUCCCGUGAGGUUAUAUUAUCCAUUUUACAGAUGAGGGAAAAGUUUUGGAAAGGUUGUGCUAUGCCGAUGGUCACAUAGUUAGUGAGUACCAGAGGUAGAAACUGAGUGAAUUACAGCUAUCUUUAUAAGCCACCGAGCUUAGAGCUAAAUUUAUAGUGGCUUUGGACAGCACAGUUGUGUACGAACAAGGUGGAUGGAUGUGGACCUAGGGAGUAGCACGGUGUGAAUGGCAAGAGGAAGAAUGUGGAACACACAAGAAGAAAGUGAUUCACCAAAGGACUUAGAGAAGCAGAAUCAGAGAUUCCAGGCAAGCAUCUUUCUAAUACACUAUUAUUCUCCUUGGAACAAGACAGAGGAGGAAGAAGGAAUAGGAGUUAGUGAGAAAGAAGUCAACUGGUCUAAUUUGAUCAGCAAGUAAAGUAAAUGAAGAGAGGAGGUAGUGUGAGAUAGAUCAAGAAAUAUAACUUGGAGACAGAUGGUAGAUGGAAUCACAAUGCUAGGCUAAGGAAGUCUUUCCCAUGGAUCUUUUUAUUUUUUGUAAUUUUGAUUUCAUUUUGAUUAAUUUCAUCUUUUUGGAUUUCUUUAAUUCAUAAAGUGCUUAAGUUAGCAUGUUAUUUUAUUUUGAGAUUGCAUCAUGUGUCAGUCUCUUCUCCCUAAGGUCAUGUUUUCCAGGUCAUCCUACUCACCACUGGGAACAGAGUAUGUG
rnacentral:lncRNA from 1 species